GCGCGCGAACCCCGCCGGCCACGUCCGGCCCCCGCCCGGCCUUUGUCCCGGUGCUGAGCCGCCGCGCCGGGGGAGGGGACUGGACUGACCCCGUCGCCCGUUCACUGAUUGACGUAUCGAUUCAUUCCAGCACUCUCGCUCCGGCAGCCGCCAUCCACCGCCAGUUUGGAGAGCCGGACACCCGGGUUCGAAUCCCGGCUUUGCCGCUUUUCCACUCUGUGCCCUCGGCAAGUUGCUUAACCUCUCUGGGUUGGGUCUCUUCGUCUAUAAUAUGAGCCUAGUAGUACAAGCACCAUGUUUGUCUUUUUGUGUCUGGCUUAUUUCACUCGGCAUAAUGUCCUCAAGGCUCAUCCAUGUUGUAGCACGUGUCAGUAGUACCGCCUGCCUGCCGGUGCUGCGCCCGGGAUUAAGUGCAUGUGAAGCCAUUCCGCAGUGCAGUCCAUGGUAUGAGUGCUGGCGUUCCUAAAGCCACCCCAAGCCCUGGUGAUUCAGGAGGAGCAAGAGACCCGUGACCAGGUUCCCCCAGCCUCAGUCUGGGACAUGGGGAGUGAGGGAGAGAAAAACUGCAACAAAUGCGCAUACGUGCAAUGUAAUUGCCAUGGAAGCAACAAAAGGGGAUAAAAGGGUGGUGACUAUGUGUGAGGGGCAGCUGGGUGCUUGUUAGCAAGGCCAUCGAUUUCCAGUUGCGGAGCACUUAACUGCUCGCUGGGCCCCGUGGCCCCUGCUUUUCACAAAUGCUGUCUUUGCAUCCUCAGGCAGACUCUAGGAGGAAAAGGUGUUUUUACAGAGGACGGCCUCCAGACAUUUGGACAUUUCCAAUGAGGCCUGAGGACCCUCUGACUUGGGAACUGUACUUCAGAAGAAUGUGCCUUACAGGAAUUACAUCAGUGAAGGUCCAGAGUCAGGGAGCCGGUGGAUGGAGCCCGUCACUGCCUGGCUCUAGGUGGAUCUCACACGUUGAAGCUGCCGUGGCUGGGGCAGCUCCUCGUUUCUUCAUCUAGUGCCUCCUAGCACUGGCUGGGCACUGAGUCACUUUCAGGAGAUGUUGGCUGAAUGAAUGGAUAAAUGAAUAUAUAAUGCAUGGAUGGGAGGUUUAGGCUCCUGGCCAGUGUUUUCACAGCCAGUAAGUGGGGGCU
rnacentral:lncRNA from 1 species